AAACGUCGUGUUUCUAUAUGUAACUUCUGAGUAAAACCAUAAAUAAAUCAAAACUUUCAACAACGGAUCUCUUGGUUCUGGCAUCGAUGAAGAACGCAGCAAAAUGCGAUAAGUAAUGUGAAUUGCAGAAUUCAGUGAAUCAUCGAAUCUUUGAACGCACAUUGCGCCCGCCAGUAUUCUGGCGGGCAUGCCUGUUCGAGCGUCAUUUCAACCCUCAAGCCCAGCUUGGUGUUGGGACUCGCGAGUCAAAUCGCGUUCCCCAAAUUGAUUGGCGGUCACGUCGAGCUUCCAUAGCGUAGUAGUAAAACCCUCGUUACUGGUAAUCGUCGCGGCCACGCCGUUAAACCCCAACUUCUGAAUGUUGACCUCGGAUCAGGUAGGAAUACCCGCUGAACUUAAGCAUAUCAAUAAGCGGAGGAA
rnacentral:sRNA from 1 species